rnacentral:rRNA from 1 species
CCUACGGGUGGCAGCAGUCGAGAAUCAUUCACAAUGGGGGAAACCCUGAUGGUGCGACGCCGCGUGGGGGAAUGAAGGUCUUCGGAUUGUAAACCCCUGUCAUGUGGGAGCAAAUUAAAAAGAUAGUACCCCAAGAGGAAGAGACGGCUAACUCUGUGCCAGCAGCCGCGGUAAUACAGAGGUCUCAAGCGUUGUUCGGAAUCACUGGGCGUAAAGCGUGCGGAGGCUGUUUCGUAAGUCGUGUGUGAAAGGCGCGGGCUCAACCCGCGGACGGCACAUGAUACUGCGAGACUAGAGUAAUGGAGGGGGAAGCGGAAUUCUCGGUGUAGCAGUGAAAUGCGUAGAUAGCGAGAGGAACACUCGUGGCGAAGGCGGGUUCCUGGACAUUAACUGACGCUGAGGCACGAAGGCCAGGGGAGCGAAAGGGAUUAGAUACCCCUGUAGUC